ACUACGGGAGGCAGCAGUGAGGAAUAUUGGUCAAUGGACGAGAGUCUGAACCAGCCAAGUAGCGUGAAGGAUGACUGCCCUAUGGGUUGUAAACUUCUUUUAUAUGGGAAUAAAACGUUCCACGUGUGGGAUUUUGUAUGUACCAUAUGAAUAAGGAUAGGCUAACUCCGUGCCAGCAGCCGCGGUAAUACGGAGGAUCCGAGCGUUAGCCGGAUUUAUUGGGUUUAAAGGGAGAGUAGGUGGUUUGUUAAGUCAUUUUUGAAAGUUUGCGGCUCAACCGUAAAAUUGCAGUUGAAACUGGCAGUCUUGCGUACAGUAGAGGUGUGCGGAAUUCGUGGUGUAGCGGUGACAUGCUUAGAUAUCACGAAGAACUCCGAUUGCGAAGGCAGUUCACUGGACUGCAACUGACACUGAGGCUCG
rnacentral:rRNA from 1 species